AAGGGUAUUCCUCAGUGGUAGAGUGCAUGCUUAGCACGCAUAAGGUCCUAGGUUCAAUCCCCAGUACCUCCA
rnacentral:tRNA from 1 species